GCUCGCAUAGCUCAGUUGGUUAGAGCGUGGUGCUAAUAACGCCAAGGUCGCAGGUUCGACCCCUGCUGUGAGCA
rfam:Basidiobolus meristosporus CBS 931.73 K493scaffold_686, whole genome shotgun sequence.